ensembl:lncRNA
AAGAAAGGCAACACCGCCACAGUGAUAAAGCAAAGAGAAAAAGCGUGGCAAAGUAUUGCAGACCGCCUGAAUGCAUUAAACAUGAACGGGCCAAAACGGACAUGGCAGCAGGUCAAAAUCAAAUACAAGAACAUUCUGCAGAAUGCAGUGAAAAAGAAUACCCACAGACAAGGCACGGGUGGUGGGUCACCAAAGGCUGACCUUACCCCAGCAGAGGACAUGGCCUUGGAGCUAAAUAAAGGCAGGCCCGUCUUAGAGGGGAUCCCUGGGGGGAAAGAGACGAGCAUAGGUUCCUCCCAAGAUGCCACCCGCUUCAUUCAAGUGUCUGGCAGCACUGUGUUCCUGUUAGAGCCACCAGCACAAGCACCAGACGAUGCUGAUCCAGUGAGUACUCCAUCAAAGGCAUACUGUAGGCCUGGCAUGUCUUGUCUACUAGCUUCAAUAUGAAUCCGAUUAAAUGUGAUAGGGUGAAGGCCCCAGUGCAGCAGCAACAGCACAUGAUGGAGACGAUGAUGAGGAGGAGACCAUCUCUCUGGAUUCCAGAAGGCAUGAGGUAUCAUGUUAAGACUGUGAAAGUACUAUUUACUCUACAAUGGUGAGGAGUCCUCAUCAAAAUCAAAAAAUCUAAUUUCUUUUACAGGACCCAGAUGCUAUACAGUGGGAAAACCAGCCUGGCAACAUAAGCUCACAAGCUAUCAGAAAGUUGUAUGGCAACCACCUCCGGCGCCAAAUAGAACUGGCAGACAUAGACAUUCAGUACAAGAAGAAAAAGAUGGAAAAUCUUGCACUGGAGUUCGAAAUAAAAAAGAGGACAAUUAGGAAACUGGACCUUGAAAUAAAAAAACUUGAGAGGGAGGUGAGAUAUGCCUUCAAU